CGUGUAGGCGGUCAGGUAAGUGGAAUGUGAAAUGCCCCGGCUCACCCGGGGACCGGCAUCCCAAACUGCCUGGCUUGAGUAUGGGGGAGGAUGGAGGAAUUCCUGGUGUAGCGGUGAAAUGCGUAGAUAUCAGGAGGAACACCGGUGGCGAAGGCGUCCAUCUGGCCCAAUACUGACGCUGAGGCGCGAAAGCUAGGGGAGCAAACG
rnacentral:rRNA from 1 species